rnacentral:rRNA from 1 species
UACGGGGGGGGCAAGCGUUGUUCGGAAUUACUGGGCGUAAAGGGCGCGUAGGCGGCCUGCUAAGUCGAACGUGAAAUCCCCGGGCUCAACCCGGGAACUGCGUCCGAUACUGGUUGGCUUGAAUCCGGGAGAGGGAUGCGGAAUUCCAGGUGUAGCGGUGAAAUGCGUAGAUAUCUGGAGGAACACCGGUGGCGAAGGCGGCAUCCUGGACCGGCAUUGACGCUGAGGCGCGAAAGCGUGGGGAGCAAACAGG